rnacentral:ncRNA from 1 species
GUCGACUCUGAGGAUCCCCGCUUAAGCGGUCCUAACGGCCCGUUGAAUGUGCUGGGUGCUGGUCAGAAUGGGUUGAGUUGGCGGGACAAAAGCUGGGUCCACCCAGGUAACCCGGCCGAUGCCGCCGACUCGACCAAGGCGUAAAGAGUACCUUGUCCUUCGGGAUCUGUGCUCUAAAGAUUCUGGCAGAAGAGCGUCAAUCGACCCGUCUUGAAACACGGACCAAGGAGUCUAACAUGUAUGCGAGUUGGCGGGUGGAAAACCCGUAAGCGCAAGUAACCUGACUGGUGGGAUGGGGUAAAACCCUGCACCAUCGACCGACCAUGUUGUUUCUACGAAAGGUUUGAGUGCGAGCAUACCUGUUGGGACCCGAAAGAUGGUGAACUAUGCCUGAGCAGGGUGAAGCCAGAGGAAACUCUGGUGGAGGCUCGUAGAUGUGCUGACGUGCAAAUCGCUUUUCAGACUUGGGUAUAGGGGCGAAAGACUAAUCGAACCAUCUAGUAGCUGGUUCCCUCCGAAGUUUCCCCCAGGAUAGCUGGAGCUUGAUCAGUUUUAUCGGGUAAAGCGAAUGAUUAGAGGUUCGGGGGAUGANACAUCCUUCACCUAUUCUCAAACUUUAAAUAGGUAAGACGUGUCGGUUGCUUAAUUGAACCGGCACAUUCAAUGUGAGCUCCAAGUGGGCCAUUUUUGGUAAGCAGAACUGGCGAUGCGGGAUGAACCGAUAGUCGAGUUAAGGUGCCAAACUACGCGCUAACCUAGAUCCCACAAAGGGUGUUGAUUGAUAUAAACAGCAGGACGGUGGUCAUGGAAGUCGAAAUCCGCUAAGGAGUGUGUAACAACUCACCUGCCGAAUCAAUUAGCCCCGAAAAUGGAUGGCGCUUAAGCGCGUGACCUAUACUCGGCCAUGGAAGCAAGUGCGACGCUUCCAUGAGUAGGAGGGCGUGGGUGUCGAGACUAAGCCUCUGGCGUGAGCCUGGGUGAAUCGGCAUCUAGUGCAGAUCUUGGUGGUAGUAGCAAAUAUUCAAAUGAGAACUUUGAAGACUGAAGUGGAGAAAGGUUCCAUGUGAACAGCAAUUGGACAUGGGUUAGUCGAUCCUAAGAGAUGGGGUAAUCCUGUGUGAAGAGCGCGAUUCGCGCUGCCCAUCGAAAGGGAAAAGGGUUAAGAUUCCCUUACUUGGACAAGGCGGCUGGCGGUAACGCAAGCGAGCCCGGAGACAUCGGCA